AGUGAACGCUGGCGGUAGGCCUAACACAUGCAAGUCGAACGGCAGCACAGUAAGAGUUUGCUCUUACGGGUGGCGAGUGGCGGACGGGUGAGGAAUACAUCGGAAUCUACUUUUUCGUGGGGGAUAACGUAGGGAAACUUACGCUAAUACCGCAUACGACCUACGGGUGAAAGCAGGGGAUCUUCGGACCUUGCGCGAUUGAAUGAGCCGAUGUCGGAUUAGCUAGUUGGCGGGGUAAAGGCCCACCAAGGCGACGAUCCGUAGCUGGUCUGAGAGGAUGAUCAGCCACACUGAAACUAAGACACGUUCCAGACUCCUACGGGAGGCAGCAGUGGGGAAUAUUGGACAAUGGGCACAAGCCUGAUCCAGCCAUACCGCGUGGGUGAAGAAGGCCUUCGGGUGGUAAAGCCCUUUUGUUGGGAAAGAAAAGCAGCAGGUUAAUACCCCGCUGUUCUGACGGUACCCAAAGAAUAAGCACCGGCUAACUUCGU
rnacentral:rRNA from 1 species